GACGUAGGGCGCGAGCGUUGUCCGGAAUUAUUGGGCGUAAAGGGCGCGUAGGCGGCCUGGCAAGUGGAAGGUGAAAUCCCUCGGCUUAACCGAGGAACUGCCCUCCAAACUGCUUGGCUUGAGUCCGGGAGAGGUGAGUGGAAUUCCCAGUGUAGCGGUGAAAUGCGUAGAUAUUGGGAGGAACACCAGUGGCGAAGGCGGCUCACUGGACCGGAACUGACGCUGAGGCGCGAAAGCGUGGGGAGCAAACGGG
rnacentral:rRNA from 1 species